AUUGAACGCUGGCGGCAGGCCUAACACAUGCAAGUCGAACGAGUGGCGGACGGGUGAGUAAUGUCUGGGAAACUGCCCGAUGGCGGGGGUUAACUACUGGAAACGGAAGCUAAUACCGCAUACCAUCGGAUGUGCCCAGAUGGGAUGAGCUAGGAGGUGGGGUAACGGCGCACCUAGGCGACGAUCCCUAGCUGGGCUGAGAGGAUGACCAGUCACACUGGAACUGAGACACGGUCCAGACUCCUACGGUAGGCAGCAGUGGGGAAUAUUGCACAAUGGGCGCAAGCCUGAUGCAGCCAUGCCGCGUGUGUGAAGAAGGCCUUCGGGUUGUAAAGUACUUUCAGCUAGGAGGCGUUACUCGCAGAAGAAGCACCGGCUAACUCCGUGCCAGCAGCCGCGGUAAUAC
rnacentral:rRNA from 1 species